UGUUAAUUCCAUUUUUGAAAGCUCUAAUAAUAACAUAUGUUGUGAAGAACCAGAUCUAGUUAAGAUUGAAUUCUGCAGUAUUAAUGCAUCUAUUAUUGUUCAAGCAGCUGAGACUUGUGCAGAAGAGAUCACUUACGCUGAAACAACAUUCUACAAAAGAAACUCACAGAAAUCAAAAGUUGAAGAGGAGGUUUGUGUGGAAUAUGCACCAAUCACAAUGAGAAGAUGAUCAAACGUCAAUCUUUUAUGUACAAGACCCAGAUUGUGAUCAUUUUCACAGGAAAUUUCUGCAAACCGAGUCUAUUGUUGAGUUUUGGGAUUGUGAGAAUCACCAUGUUAUAUCAGGAAAUCACAGCAGACAGAGAGUAGGAUUAUCCUAAAGGGGUUUAAAGUGUGAUAAUGAUGUCAAUCGUGUGGUCCAUUGGAACAUUUUCAUGUUUUACUCUAAAAGUCAAAAGUGAAAAACGUAGAUGCAAGCUACUCAUUAAAAGGAGUCAAAGUGAA